rnacentral:rRNA from 1 species
GACGAACGCUGGCGGCGUGCUUAACACAUGCAAGUCGAACGGAAAGGCCCUGCUUUUGUGGGGUGCUCGAGUGGCGAACGGGUGAGUAACACGUGAGUAACCUGCCCUUGACUUUGGGAUAACUUCAGGAAACUGGGGCUAAUACCGGAUAGGAGCUCCUGCUGCAUGGUGGGGGUUGGAAAGUUUCGGCGGUUGGGGAGGGACUCGCGGCUUAUCAGCUUGUUGGUGGGGUAGUGGCUUACCAAGGCUUUGACGGGUAGCCGGCCUGGGAGGGUGACCGGCCAAGUAGGCUCGGGCAGGAGGCCGACCCGAACUCGGGGGGAAGGCGGCGGGAAUGUGUAAAAAAGGAGGGGCGCCAGACGAAGCCAGCCCGGCCGCGGGAGUGGGGCGUUCGUUUGGAAAGCGGGUUUCGUUUGUGAGGAACGAUGAUGACGGUACAGGGAAAAAAAGGCACGGCUAACUUCGUG